ACGUCCCUGCGGUGCUCGCGACUGACACGUGUGUCUUGAGCCGAUAAGCAAAUUGCAUGGAUAUCAAAACAAAGUUGGCGUGCAAGCCCGCUAGACGGGAAGCCCGAUGCUUUGAUGAGAUAACCACUUGAACCCCAUGGUUCGAGAACCCCGUCACAACGACACUGUGGGGACUAU
rnacentral:other from 2 species